ensembl:lncRNA
UUUAUUCAGUAUAUAUAAAUAUGUGACACACAUGUAGUUAUAACUGACCUUUCCAAUAGGGAGGUUUCCUGGAUCCCACUUUUGCAGUGCAGUGUAUGAGGAGAUUCUACAACCUGACCAGCCAGGCACAAGAUCCUGAUCCCUAUGCCCUGAUCAGGAUGGGUGACCUGCUGUAUGAAGGACAUGGGCAGAGACCGAGAGACGUGGCAGCAGCAGCAGAGAUGUACAAACAGGCAGCACUAAGGAGUGACCCUCACUCUUGGUGUGCUUGUUCAAGAGGAACAGGGGUUACCGUUGUCCGUCCUGUCUGAACUGGGUCUGACACAGCAUUACAUGGCAGAUAACACUGAGCUGGCGACUACACUUUACCGCAGGUGCAGAGACUCCAACAGUACAGCAGAGUCCUACUUACCCUGCAGCCUUGCCCUAUUCCAUGCUUAUCUGCAGUCUUUCCAAAAGGACUACAGUGCUACUAUCAAGGUCUCUGGUACUGUGGUCAUGGCAGUUGCAGUUCCACCAAUCCUCUUCAUCAUCCUUCGUGUUCUGAGGGGGCGUGGCAUCAUGUCUUAUUAUCACUAGGACCAGGAAACCCAUCAGCCUAUCAGCACUAUGAGGAAGAAGACUUGAUUGUAUCUAGAGCAAAAACUUUUUUCACAGAUUUUUUUAUUUUGUUUUUAUAGCUAAAGGUAAAUAUUUUUUGUGUUUUUAUCUUUGUUUUAUCUGGAAUGAAGAUAGCACAAUUUCUUAAAUUGAAUGUAUAAAGUUAUUUCAAUGUUCUGUAUGAUCAUGGUUUACAAAACUGUCUAUUGAUUGAACAGUAUUAAUAAAGCAAACUGAUUUGAAAAUCA